CCUACGGGUGGCAGCAGUGAGGAAUAUUGGUCAAUGGGCGGAAGCCUGAACCAGCCAAGUAGCGUGCAGGAUGACGGCCCUACGGGUUGUAAACUGCUUUUAUACGGGAAUAACGCGCCUUACGUGUAGCGCUUUGCAUGUACCGUAUGAAUAAGGACCGGCUAACUCCGUGCCAGCAGCCGCGGUAAUACGGAGGGUGCGAGCGUUAAUCGGAAUUACUGGGCGUAAAGCGCUCGUAGGCGGUAUGUCAAGUCAAGGGUGAAAUCCCCGGGCUCAACGUGGGAACUGCCUUUGAAACUGGCAAACUGGAGUGUGUGAGAGGAUAGUGGAAUUCCAGGUGUAGGAGUGAAAUCCGUAGAUAUCUGGAGGAACAUCAGUGGCGAAGGCGACUAUCUGGCACAUAACUGACGCUGAGGAGCGAAAGCGUGGGUAGCAAACAGGAUUAGAUACCCCUGUAGUC
rnacentral:rRNA from 1 species